GCUGAUAUGGCUCAGUUGGUAGAGCGCAMCCUUGGUAAGGGUGAGGUCCCCAGUUCGACUCUGGGUAUCAGCACCA
rnacentral:tRNA from 1 species